rnacentral:rRNA from 1 species
UACGUAGGGUGCAAGCGUUGUCCGGAAUUAUUGGGCGUAAAGGGCUCGUAGGCGGUCCAUCGCGUCGGGAGUGAAAAGCUGGGGCUUAACCCCAGUCCUGCUUCCGAUACGGGUGGACUAGAGGUAGGUAGGGGAGAACGGAAUUCCUGGUGUAGCGGUGAAAUGCGUUGAUAUUGGAAGGAACUCCGGUGGCGAAAGCGAACGGCUGGAUCUCUUCUGACGCUGAGGCGCGAAAGCCAGGGGAGCAAACGGG